GGAAAAAAAAAAAAUGAAAGAUGCAGUCAGUACUCAAGUGGUCAGUUGGGCCAGUCCCAUUCCUUAGCACAGACUCUGAUGGAGCUAUGGUCCUUCUAGAAACUGAAUCCGGGAGAGCCACCGGCUUGUAGUCACAGACUUUUGUCUUUGGAGCUCAGGAAGCAACCCACCUGGCUUGAAUGCCAGUCCAAACACAGACAGCAGAGGGCGCCCACAGCAUGCUGUUGAGCCUGCACGGGUGCAAGUAGGUGCUGGCGGACCUUCUGGCCCCGGAAAGUUCAGAUUUACCGAAGGGAAUGGCUACCCACAUACCCAUGGCAUCUCUCCUCCUUGGCCCCUCUGUGAUUUUCUCCCAAACUCACGACCUACGUCGCGCUCACAUGUCAUUCUCUGUGUUCCUGAUAAGCAGCCUGGAAGCUGGGAACACGAACUUCGUGGCUAAUUUUGUAGAGAUCUUCCCUCCCACGAUACUUCACUGCCUCCUCCCUCUGAACUUUGAAAUGUUAAACUGUCGAUGCACAGAAGAGAAGACGUUAGCAGGAUUCCGUUGGGAGAGGGAGUCUCUAAGCGGCAGGUUUUGGUAAUGAGGCUACUCACCUCUUUAGAACGAAGGGAGUAGGAUGGCCCCAACUCACGCCUCAGAGAAGCCUGUGAGCCACUCAGCCCCUUACUGGUUCAGCCCACACAGAGGAACUGCCCCAGGUUUAUGGUGAUGAUACAGAUCUCAGAAGCUUGCCGAGGCGGACAGACCCCACUGGGAUGAUGCUCAUCAACGGAUUCCAGGUGUACUGGCUGGGGUUUUUGUGUCAACUUGACACAAGUUAGAGCACCCUCCAUGACCUCUGCAUCAGCUCCUGCCUCCAGGUUCCAGCCCUGCCCGAGCUCCUGUCCCAACUUCCUCCAGUGCUGGACUAUGAUCUGGAAAUGUAAGCCAGAUAAACCCUUUUCUUCCCAACUUGCUUUCGGGUCAUGGUGUUUUUAUCACCAUAAUAGAAACCUUAACUAAGACAAAUUGGUACCUGUGUCGUGAGUUGUUGCUGUGACAGCCCUGACCAUGGUUUGAGAAGGACCACGGAAGGACUUUGGAACCUUGGGUUAGAAGAGCCAUUGGGUGUGGAGCGCUCUGUGGGAUGUUCUGUAGGAGCUUGGAAGAUAAUGUUGAGAAUGGUGCAGAAGAUGCAGGCCUGGCCUGUGAAAUCUCAGAGGGAAGAUUAAAGACUAUGGGGAUUGUUUGCUAUGUUGAUUUAAGAUUCUGUGGUUCUCCUUAACUGGGGCUGGAGAUUCAGCUGUGAUUAACAAGAUUCCAGGACAACUAAAGCAAACCUUUGCCUUCCUGGGACAAUCGAUGCUGUCAGCUGGAGCUAAGAACUUAGCAGU
rnacentral:sRNA from 1 species